AUCUAGCUGACGAGUCCAAAAUAGAACGAAACACUUGUCCUAGAU
rnacentral:hammerhead_ribozyme from 1 species